AUUGAACGCUGGCGGCAUGCCUUACACAUGCAAGUCGAACGGUAACGGGCCUUCGGGUGCCGACGAGUGGCGAACGGGUGAGUAAUGCAUCGGAACGUACCUUUCAGUGGGGGAUAACGUAGCGAAAGUUACGCUAAUACCGCAUAUUCUGUGAGCAGGAAAGCAGGGGAUCGCAAGACCUUGCGCUGAUUGAGCGGCCGAUGUCAGAUUAGCUAGUUGGUGAGGUAAAGGCUCACCAAGGCGACGAUCUGUAGCGGGUCUGAGAGGAUGAUCCGCCACACUGGAACUGAGACACGGUCCAGACUCCUACGGGAGGCAGCAGUGGGGAAUUUUGGACAAUGGGGGCAACCCUGAUCCAGCCAUGCCGCGUGAGUGAAGAAGGCCUUCGGGUU
rnacentral:rRNA from 1 species